AUUGAACGCUGGCGGCAGGCCUAACACAUGCAAGUCGAGCGAGCGGCGGACGGGUGAGUAAUGUCUGGGAAACUGCCUGAUGGAGGGGGAUAACUACUGGAAACGGUAGCUAAUACCGCAUACCCUCAGCUGUGUCCAGAUGGGAUUUGGUGUUAGGUGGGGUAACGGCUCACCUAGGGGACGAUCCCUAGCUUGUCUGUGAGGAUGACCAGCCACCCUGGAACUGAGACACGGUCCAGAGCCCUACGGGAGGCAGCAGUGGGGAAUAUUGCACAAUGGGCGCAAGCCGGAUGCCGCCAUGCCGCGUGUGUGAAGAAGGCCUUCGGGUUGUAAAGCACUUUCAGCGGGGAGGCGUUACCCGCAGAAGAAGUACCGGCUAACUCCGUGCCAGCCGCCGCGGUAAUUC
rnacentral:rRNA from 1 species